rnacentral:rRNA from 1 species
CCCUUAGAUGUUCUGGGCCGCACGCGUGCUACACUGAUGCAUUCAACGAGUCUAAAACCUGGUCUGAUAGGGCUGGGUAAUCUUUUGAAAGUGCAUCGUGAUUGGGAUAGAUGAUUGCAAUUCUUCAUCUUCAACGAGGAAUGCCUAGUAAACGCAAGUCAUCAGCCUGCAUUGAUUACGUCCCUGCCCUUUGUACACACCGCCCGUCGCUCCUACCGAUUGAAUGAUCCGAUGAAUAUCAUGGAUUGAGAGUACGAAUGGGUUCGCUCAUUUCUGCUGCUCGAGAAGUGAAGUAAAUCUUAUCAUUUAGAGGAAGGAGAAGUCGUAACA